UUUGGGAGACGGGUCCCCAUGCCGCUGCCUGCCUGCUAGCCGGGGCGCAGACGGGGCGGGCUCGGGAGAGUCCAGGCCCUUGGCCCGAGCCAGGGUGCGCCCGACUCGGCUGGAGGGAGGAUUUCUGGCUCGCGCCCCGGAUCCGGUGGCCCUCGCAGCCCUGACCCGACUUGCAACCGGCUAGUUUCGGUGCCAGACAAGCAAGGGUUUGCCAAGCUUGCAAGUUCCAAAGACGAAGCCCUCGCGUGUGCCAGGAGGCAAGCGGAGGAGCCAGGUGCCCGGCCACGGCCGAGCCCGGGUGUGCUGGCCCCCUCGCAGCAUCCUGUGUCUCGUGUCUCGGCGGCCCUGCAAACUGGGGAAACUGAGGAAAGGGCAACAGCAUCCUGGGCCGGGUGACACGCGGCCCCCACGAGCUUCUCCUCUGCUGGCUGCAGGUUCCGGCUGCACCGCUGGAGAAACCGGAACCCCGUGGGGCAGCUAGGCCAGGAGAGCAGUUCCCGGGAAGGGCAUCGAGCGGGCCCUGGGGCCAGAGGGCUUGGCCCGAGGCCCGGAGCAGCCCGCAGCACCCGCACAGGGAGAGGCCCCGCCCCGCAGGGGAUCUGAGGGAUCGAUCGCAUCUCCUCCCUGCCCCCUCCCACCCACUCAGCAAACAGCCCGCCAUCCUGGUUCUGUGGCCGAGGUGCAGCUCACAGGAUGGACAACUGUGGGCCACGAGGGAGAAGCAGCAAAACCGCUUCCAGCAGCCAGUCACCAGUUCAUCACCCUGUGAGACUCCCCAGACCAGGAAACCUCGAUAGUGGCCUCUCACCCCAGAGCAAAAUGUCCACUGCAGCAGCCCCAGGCCGGUCCCUCCGCUGCCCUCCAGGUCCUAGGCUCCUCCCGAGUUCCCUGUGUCUGUUCCCGCGAGACCACUGUGGAGAUUUAGUUUGCUUCUCAAGCCUCUAAGAGUUAAGAACAAGGUGACCCAAAUCCUGAGAGGUAAAAAUGUAUUGAUUUUUAUCACAUCAGCAUGUUAUGAUAUGGUCACACCUGCUCAUAUAGCUGACUUCUGAGAGCCAAAAGAUGAUUUUCUUUUUUCUUUAAAAAUACAGUUUUCAGUAGGAAGAGACAUUUUAAAAACAUACAUUUUCACACUGAGGGGGAAUUAUAAACAGUGGCUUCCCCCAACUCAUGAGGAGCAGGGCUGGUCAGCAACAGAUCUCUGAGGGCUUCGAUUUGUUUUCCGGCCUUGGCCCCAUCUGUUCUGUCCUCCACAGAAAGUACUUCCGGGGAACAGAGCCUCACUACCACAGCAGCCUACAUCCAGGGAGAGAAAGAGGUAGACUGAACUGGAAUGAGUUAAAUUAUUUGGCAGAGUGUGCAAGGUAAAUUAACACAUUUAAAAAUUUCCAUGGGAUCAAACAUACUUGACAAUCAGGUAACUAAACACUCAAUGCUUGAAAUUCGUAAAACAAAAUCUUAGUGAUGCUUAGACCAUGGUUGCUUAGCUUUGAAAGAUGAAAACAUAAAAGCCAACUUUAGAAACCAUAAUCUUCCCUUGUACUUUAGGAAAGCUUGUUCUUGUCAGAUUUCUUCAAAAUCAAAAGAUCACUCGGUAGGUAGGAUGGAUCUUAAUCCUUUUCCCACCCCUUAAAGUUCCCACCAACGUCAAUAAUAGAGGUUUUCGCAGACCUAUGGCUAAACUGUGAGUUUAUUCAACAUUAAUAAUUAAACAGCUUAAAACAAAAUAAAAAGAACCAGGGCAGUGGUAUGCUGGAGACAGCUACUCCUGGCUCCUAGGAGCCAGUCAUUCAUUUUGUAAUUUUCCAGCAGCUGUCAAACAAUUGUUAUUAAAUUAUAUUAACUUGAAUUACUGCUGAAGCUAAAAAGUGGUUUUGUUUUGUUUUUGGUACCGGGGAUCAAACUCAGGACCUUGUGCUUGCGAGGCAGGUGCCGGAACCACUGAGCUAAAUCCCCAGCCCUAAAAAGUGGUUUUGUACAAGAGUAAGAAGAGCUUGGGACUGGGGACAUAGCUCAGUGGUAGAGCUAGUGUACGUGAAGCCCCAGGUACAAUCCCCAGCCCCAAGAAACACAGCUUAAAAGAUCAUGUAUUAGACUGACAGUGAGUUCACCGGGAGAUGAGUGAGUGGAUUAGGAGGUGACACCGUCAUUCAAAUCAUGGUUGAAAUACAACCAAAGGUCAGCUGUAAGGUUCAGAAAAAAGAAUCAGGUAUCUGAGGAGAAUCAACUGGCUAUGUGGAAUUUACAAUAAAAUAUUUAUAUUUUAUUAUUGUUAAUUGUGUUACACAACCUUAUCAGGAAGAUUUGUAACAACCUCAUGUGCAUGUGUACACACAGCUUCUUCCAGGCCAGCGGACGGCUAAGCGCUGCACACCGCGGGCAGGGAGGGUGAGGGCGGGGAGGAAACCCUU